UACGUAGGGCGCAAGCGUUGUUCGGAUUCACUGGGCGUAAAGGGUGCGUAGGCGGUUCCGCAAGUCCUGUGUGAAAUCUUCGGGCUCAACUCGAAGUCUGCACGGGAAACUGCGGGGCUUGAGUGUGGGAGAGGUGAGUGGAAUUCCCGGUGUAGCGGUGAAAUGCGUAGAUAUCGUGAGGAACACCAGAGGCGAAGGCGGUUUCCUGGACAGUUACUGACGCUCAGGCACGAAAGCAUGGGGAGCAAAAGGG
rnacentral:rRNA from 1 species